rnacentral:rRNA from 1 species
UGCAUGAAGUCGGAAUUGCUAGUAAUCGCGGAUCAGCAUGCCGCGGUGAAUACGUUCCCGGGCCUUGUACACACCGCCCGUCACACCAUGGGAGCCGGUAAUACCCGAAGUCAGUAGUCCGACCUCGUGAGGACGCUGCCGAAGGUAGGAUUGGCGACUGGGGUGAAGUCGUAACAAGGUAUC